rnacentral:tRNA from 1 species
GCCGAAGUGGUGGAAUUGGUAGACACGCUAGAUUCAGGGUCUAGUGGGGGCAACUCCGUGGAAGUUCGAGUCUUCUCUUCGGCA